rnacentral:misc_RNA from 1 species
GAUGAAGAACGUAGCGAAAUGCGAUAAGUAAUGUGAAUUGCAGAAUUCAGUGAAUCAUCGAUUCUUUGAACGCACAUUGCGCCCGCCAGUAUUCUGGCGGGCAUGCCUGUCCGAGCGUCAUUUCAACCAUCAAGCCCCGGGCUUGUGUUGGGGACCUGCGUCCGACGCAGGCCCUGAAAACCAGUGGCGGGCUCGCUGUCCACACCGAGCGUAGUAACUAACCUCGCUAUGGAGUGGCGCGGGCGCCUGCCGUAAAACCCCCAAUUUUUACAAGGUUGACCUCGGAUCAGGUAGGAAUACCCGCUGAACUUAAGCAUAUCAAAAGCGGAGGA